rnacentral:SRP_RNA from 1 species
GCUGGGCAUGGUGGCGCAUGCCUGUAGUCCCAGCUACUCGGGAGGCUGAGACAGGAGAAUCACUUGAACCCAGGAGGUGGAGGUUGCAGUGAGCCAAGAUUGCACCACUGCACACUCCAGCCUGGGUGACAGAGUGAGACUCUGUCUCAA